GAUGAAGAACGUAGCGAAACGCGAUAAGUAAUGUGAAUUGCAGAAUUUAGUGAAUCAUCGAAUCUUUGAACGCACAUUGCGCCCGCCAGUAUUCUGGCGGGCAUGCCUGUUCGAGCGUCAUUACAACCCUCAGGCCCCCGGGCCUGGCGUUGGGGAUCGGCGGAGCCCCCCGUGGGCACACGCCGUCCCCCAAAUACAGUGGCGGUCCCGCCGCAGCUUCCAUCGCGUAGUAGCUAACACCUCGCGACUGGAGAGCGGCGCGGCCACGCCGUAAAACACCCAACUCUUCUGAAGUUGACCUCGAAUCAGGUAGGAAUACCCGCUGAACUUAAGCAUAUCAAUAAGCGGAGGA
rnacentral:misc_RNA from 1 species